rnacentral:SRP_RNA from 1 species
UCAAGGCCCCUGAGCCGAAACUGAAGGGUGCCCUGGAGCUCGCAGGGACCGCG